rnacentral:rRNA from 1 species
CACGUAGGGUGCGAGCGUUGUCCGGAAUUAUUGGGCGUAAAGAGCUCGUAGGCGGUGUGUCGCGUCGGCCGUGAAAACCUGCAGCUUAACUGUGGGCUUGCGGUCGAUACGGGCAUCACUGGAGUUCGGCAGGGGAGACUGGAAUUCCUGGUGUAGCGGUGAAAUGCGCAGAUAUCAGGAGGACCACCGGUGGCGAAGGCGGGUCUCUGGGCCGAUACUGACGCUGAGGAGCGAAAGCGUGGGGAGCAAACAGG